rnacentral:rRNA from 1 species
GGCUCAGAUUGAACGCUGGCGGCAUGCUUUACACAUGCAAGUCGAACGGCAGCACGGGCUUCGGGCCUGGUGGCGAGUGGCGAACGGGUGAGUAAUGUAUCGGAACGUGCCCAGUCGUGGGGGAUAACGCAGCGAAAGCUGUGCUAAUACCGCAUACGAUCUAUGGAUGAAAGCGGGGGAUCGCAAGACCUCGCGCGAUUGGAGCGGCCGAUAUCAGAUUAGCUAGUUGGUGGGGUAAAGGCCCACCAAGGCGACGAUCUGUAGCUGGUCUGAGAGGACGACCAGCCACACUGGAACUGAGACACGGUCCAGACUCCUACGGGAGGCAGCAGUGGGGAAUUUUGGACAAUGGGCGCAAGCCUGAUCCAGCAAUGCCGCGUGCAGGAAGAAGGCCUUCGGGUUGUAAACUGCUUUUGUACGGAACGAAACGGUCUGGGCUAAUACCCCGGGCUAAUGACGGUACCGUAAGAAUAAGCACCGGCUAACUACGUG